CUUCCCUGUUCUCUCUCUUCCAUUAUUACCGUCUUCCCCAACAUUGCGUCUUCCCCAAACUCUUCAUAUUUCCCCACAUUUUACUACUAACGUUAGAAUCGAAGCCUUCACGAAGCACGAGCGUCCAGUCUCAGCACCUCCGGGAUCAUUCUUUUUCUUUCAUUUUCCUUUCCUUUCCUUUUUCUUUUUCAUCUAUAGUCCUUUUUGUUUCUUCCCCACAUUUUACUUUCUUCCCUAGGUUUCCACCAACAAAUUGUUCUUCGUAUGUACUCUGCUCUGAUCCACCAACAAAUUACCAUCCCGCCGCCUUCAAUCAUCCGUCGAGCCCACUAAACUAACGAAGAAAGUUAGAUCCAUUGAACGUUUGGAGGUAUGGUUUAUCGAUCUUUAUUUGUUGGGUUUUAAAAUUUUUGGUGCUUUUCCAUGUGGAUUAUGCUGUGGGUUUGAGUUUUGACUUAGCAUGUAUUAGUAAUUUGGAG
rnacentral:lncRNA from 1 species